rnacentral:rRNA from 1 species
GGGAAGAUAAUGACGGUACCAUAGGAGGAAGCCCCGGCUAACUACGUGCCAGCAGCCGCGGUAAUACGUAGGGGGCAAGCGUUAUCCGGAAUUACUGGGCGUAAAGGGUGCGUAGGCGGUUUAUCAAGUCAGGGGUGAAAGGCUACGGCUCAACCGUAGUGAGCCUCUGAAACUGGUGAACUUGAGUGUAGGAGAGGAAAGUGGAAUUCCCAGUGUAGCGGUGAAAUGCGUAGAUAUUGGGAGGAACACCAGUGGCGAAGGCGACUUUCUGGACUACAACUGACGCUGAGGCACGAAAGCGUGGGGAGCAAACAGGAUUAGAUACCCUGGUAGUCCACGCUGUAAACGAUGAGUACUAGGUGUCGGCUGUCAAAGGUCGGUGCCGGCGUUAACACAUUAAGUACUCCGCCUG